UCCCUUAUGGUGUAGCGGUAACAUCCAAGACUCUCACUCUUGAGCCCCGGGUUCGACUCCCGGUGAGGGAA